rnacentral:tRNA from 1 species
GCGCCCGUAGCUCAGCUGGAUAGAGCGUCGGACUUCGGAUCCGAAUGUCGGGGGUUCGAAUCCCUCCGGGCGUG